rnacentral:rRNA from 1 species
AUGAACGCUGGCGGCGUGCCUCAUACCUGCCAGUCGCGCGAACAGACGAGGAGCUUGCUCCUCUGACGUUAGCGGCGGACGGGUGAGUAACACGUGGAUAACCUACCUAUAAGACUGGGAUAACUUCGGGAAACCGGAGCUAAUACCGGAUAAUAUAUUGAACCGCAUGGUUCAAUAGUGAAAGACGGUUUUGCUGUCACUUAUAGAUGGAUCCGCGCCGCAUUAGCUAGUUGGUAAGGUAACGGCUUACCAAGGCAACGAUGCGUAGCCGACCUGAGAGGGUGAUCGGCCACACUGGAACUGAGACACGGUCCAGACUCCUACGGGAGGCAGCAGUAGGGAAUCUUACGCAAUGGGCGAAAGCUUGACGGAGCAACGCCGCGUGAGUGAUGAAGGUCUUCGGAUCGUAAAACUCUGUUAUUAGGGAAGAACAAAUGUGUAAGUAACUAUGCACGUCUUGACGGUACCUAAUCAGAAAGCCACGGCUAACUACGUG